UACAGAGGGUGCAAACGUUGCUCGGAUUUACUGGGCGUAAAGCGCGUGUAGGCGGGUUCAUAAGUCGGACGUGAAAGCCCUGGGCUCAACCCAGGAACUGCGUUCGAAACUGCGAACCUUGAGUAGUGGAGAGGAAAGUAGAAUUCCCGGUGUAGAGGUGAAAUUCGUAGAUAUCGGGAGGAAUACCAGUGGCGAAGGCGGCUUUCUGGACACUUACUGACGCUGAGACGCGAAAGCGUGGGGAGCAAACAGG
rnacentral:rRNA from 1 species